GAUGGUGGAAGGGGUGGGGUGAGGGGAUGGGGACAGAGACCUCCAAACAGAUGGGCUGCCCACGUGGAAGCUGGCUAGGGUCUCUUCAUUCUUGGAGUCAAACAAUCUCCAACCCACUCCGAAGCUGCCCCCAGGCCAGCGGCAUCUUUCUUGAGAGUCAUCUGCCAGAUUAACGAAAGGGGCCAGGCCUGGACCACAGAAGGCUGCAGAAUUAAGAUGACUUCCCCAGGGGCCCUGAAAUUCCUUCAAAGCUAAGCCUCUAGACAUCCCUUUGGCUCCUCUGUCUGAAGAUAGACACUUUAAAGGCCAAAGAGAGAAUUCCCAUGACACCACUUUCUCAACAUCCCAUCUCAACACCCUCCAGCCGCCUGUUGUUUUUGGCGUCUGCACUCGGUGGGCCACCCCCAGGAUGUUGCUCCGCUGAGAUGCGACGCAGACUUCACUGUUGACGUCAGCAUUUCACUGACUCAGAAUAAGCUGGAACCUUGAUGCUUCAACCAUGUGUCUAGACCCAUGGCAGCGGCUCUGAGGAGGGAGCUGCUAACGCCAGUAAAGUUUGAAAAGAAGAAAAGAGAGAAGUAGACAUCGACAAUUCAUGGUGAAGACCAGUACAUAAAUGAGAGGUCUCUGCGGUGGUUACCCAGAGGUACUGUGGAUCCUGGAGAAGAGUAACAAGUGCCCAAGCCACUUGAUCGAAGAUCAAAAGUUCACGGACGGCCACGGUCACUGCAAAACUUCACAGAUGGGCGACCAUUGAGAAUGUUUGCUAACACGUGAGUCUCAGUUUAUUAAGCCCUAUGCUGAGGCAUUCUCUGUGGAGGGAAAAACCCAUUAAAAAGUUUAUGCACCUAAAAAAAAAAUAUGCGUCAACGAAAGCUGAAUUAUGGCUGCUGGAUGAAUCUCCCACAUAAGGAACGCUUGGAACAGAAUUACGGAUUAUAUCAUCUGUGAUUUGUCUGGGCCCAAAUAGGCUGAAACACACAAUAAUCUUGAGCUGGAACAACCUCUGUAUCCUCCAGGCUCUCUCCCGCCUCCAAGACAGGGACUUCGGACAGGGUGCCCUCAACACUUACGAAGGACAACAGAAGCAGACAGCUGGUUGAUUCUGUGAUGCUGGAAGUACGAGAGCUGUCCCCAGACAGCGGGCUCCUUGUUUUAAACUCAAUUCAGCCAACAUUUUGGAGCACUUUCUAUAUGCCCGACACUCUGUCCGGGGCAGUGGGGGAUUCAAACAUGAGCGGGACACAACACACACCGAGUCUUUAAGGCCCCUGGGAGAAGCCCAUCUGCUGUCAGAGCUCUGAAGAGAACGUCUUCCCUCUGGUGAAGGUGUGGGGAGCUCUUCACAGACAGGGGCGUGCAGGAUGCGGGUACUCUUCCCAUGCACGGCGAAAGCCUGAGGGCCAGUGUCCUUCCCGGGUCCUGGUGGAGAGACUCGCCUUGCCCCUCAUUUCUGGCCAGGAGCCCGCUUCCAAAGUAGGCAGCUGGCGUGUGCAGGCUCCUUCCCUACACUGGGAGAACACUUGGGGCACCCGCCACAGACUGGGCAUGUGUGGAGAGCGGGUGUUCUCCAGAGUGUAGGAGGGGGGUCCCGGUCCACCCAGCUUUGCAGCUGCCUCCCAGCUUCUGGCCGGAGCCCCUUGCCUCAGUCCUGGGUUCCUCUGGGGCUGGGAUGAAGAGAGAUGCAAGGGCAGCGGUGCUGUGGGUUCACCCCAGUUACCCAUCACUGGCCUUCUCUGGAGGAGUGCAUUUGUCCUUUGACAGAGCCCCCAACACAGACAUGGGGUCCCCAGCACAGCAGCAUUCCCCAGUGUGGGUGACGCCCCCUCUAGCCAGUCUCUCAUCUCCUCCCCUUACCUCUGCUCUGGCUGCACACCCCUGCACCCCGGAGCUGUCUCCCUUCUCACUGAGCAUUCACUCAGCUCAUGGGAAAAUCUCGUGCCACCCUCCCACACCAAGAGGCACAAGCACCGUUGGACCAUGCUGGCUGGUUCCCCUGGUCCUGCCAGGAGAACCUCUCAGGCAGGGGCUGCCUUCAAUCUUCUUCACGGGAGAACUCAGUCUUCCAGUCACAUGUCCCUCACGCUUUGCUGCAGCAGUGGCACCAGGAAGGUCUCUGGGGUGCCACCCCUUAGCCAGACAACUCAAUGAAGAGCUCUCUGCCACCCUUUACUGAGCUUGGGAUCAGAAUGUGGGGCUGGGGGAAGGAACCCCCCACACUCCCAAAGGGAAGGAGGAAAAAUGCUCUAUCUAGACUCUCUCCCAGGGGAAAAGAUGCCAGCAGAGGCAGUGAGUUAAGUGACUGAAGAUCUCAGGGGAGGAACGGUCAGCUGGGAUUUCCUUCUGGAAUGCUAGGUUGAAUUUGUUCUGGAACGGUAACAAGACAGUCUCUGCUUUCAAAAGAAGUAGCCUUUGAUGUAUUGUUUGGCGGCAGCUCCACAAGGCUAAGAUCAGAUGUACCCACAACUUCCCCUGGUCCACAAACAGGACACGAGGAGAUGAAACACUUGGCCGAGCUGAGCUCAGGGCAAGGUCUGGUUAUUAGGCGAGAAAACGUCUGGCCUCAAAGACGCCGAGUUCCUCAUAACGCUGCAAGGUUUCUUUGAUGUGAGACGGGAACUUUUUAUUUGGUGGAGCGUCAGGGUACAGUGCCGGGAGCAGGGGGACCCUGGGUUUCCACUGGAUGCUGCCAUACGUGGGGAGGCCAGCAGAAGCCCCGAGGGGUGUGUGUAGCAGGGGAGGAGGCUCCGGGCUCCGUGUGAGGGAGAACUUCCUAAUUACCAGCAUCUUCUCCCAGCACAAAGUGGAGAGCUCCCCAUCACCAGAAGUGUUCAAGCAGAGUCUACACAACUGCAUGGCACUGGACUCGAUGCUUCUUGCCCGCCCUACUAGAUUGGAAGCUCCUUGAAGCACAGGUCUUUAGACCUCAGGCCUGCUGGUGGUUUGGAAGCUGAUUGUUAUCCAGCCUGAUCAUCUGGGCCUAAUGAGCUGGAUCAUCAUUUCUUCAUCAGGGAAGUCUGAUUCUCCUGUGGUUUUGUUCCCACCCCUGUGAGGUCAGCAGGGAGCUAACCCUUUAUCUCAGGAAGGCAACAGGAGCCGGAGAGGAGCCGGGUGACAGGCUCAGAGUGGCGUUUAUUCAGGGAGCAAGGGUUUGAAUUCACACACACUGCUACGUUUCUUGAGCCCCUGGGAAAGGCUCUCCUGGCAGCACCUGCACAGCUGCACAGCCCGGCACCCUGGGGAGUGGAAGGUGCCCAGCGAUCCCCACGUGCAAUCAGUGGGCCCGCCAAGGCUGCCACAGCGCCUGUCACUCCAGUAUCGCAUAUCUCGAGGCCUUGGACUUGGGGGGGAGGGAGAGGGGCAAUUUUUCACUUCUUCUGCAAUGUAUUUCUACAGUAUAACAAUUGCUUAUAAAAACCACACAUUACUUUUGAAAUUUAAAAAAAGUAAAGAAUGUAUUAUUUUAACAUUUGUCACUUGGAAUCAAAUGAUCCCCAUGACAAUGCAGCUCCCUUAGUGGUGGGACUGGCUCAUUAAACCGAUAACUCCCUCAGAACCCUGAAGCACGUCAGAUUACCUAAAAUGGAAUGAUCUGCUCAGCCAAUGAGAAACACCACAGCUCAGCCAAUGAGAAAUGCUGCAGCUCAGCCAAUGAGAAAUGCUGCAGCUCAGCCAAUGAGAAACGCCACAGCUCAGCCAAUGAGAAACACCACAGCUCAGCCAAUGAGAAACACCACAGCUCAGCCAAUGAGAAACACGGCAGCUCAGCCAAUGAGAAACACUGCAGCUCAGCCAAUGAGAAACACCACAGCUCAGCCAAUGAGAAAUGCUGCAGCUCAGCCAAUGAGAAGCACCACAGCUCAGCCAAUGAGAAACGCCGCAGCUCAGCCAAUGAGAAACGCCACAGCUCAGCCAAUGAGAAAUGCUGCAGCUCAGCCAAUGAGAAGCUGUUGCCGUCCUGAACUGUUACUUUCCCCCAAUGGACUUGCUUUAGAACAGCCCUGCCAUACUCCCCUUUUUUUCUAUAAAAGCAGCUCCUCUUCUUUGUUUGCUGGAUUUGCCUAAUGUUCACCAUAGCAUGCACAUCCCAAAUUACGAUUCUUUUGGCAAUUCCUGAAUAAACUCAUUUUGAGAUAAAAUAAGAGACAAACUUGCUUUUUAAGUUGACAGGUUCUAGGGCCAUCUUGCUAGGUCCCCACAUUUCUCACCCUUGGCAGGGUCUGCCAGGCUGGUGGAGUUGCAGGAUGAAGCA
rnacentral:lncRNA from 1 species